GUUGUUUCUUUGGGUUUUGGCCUAAGAUCAAGGUUAGUAUCUGUUCUUAUCAUUUAACAUCUCAUAAAUCCUCUACCUGAGGAUACUUUAUUUUAUUUUAUUUUUAAAAAUAAUUUAUUUUAUUUAUUUUAUUUUUGGCUGCAUUGGGUCUUCGUUGCUGUGCACGGGCUUUUCUCUAGUUGCGGCGAGCGAGGGCUACUCUUC
rnacentral:snRNA from 1 species